GGAACGAAACGGCUCCCCUCAGUUCCAUCACGGCGAGCCGGGACGAUAAGUCGUCGUUGCAUUUUCGUCUCUGAAACUUUUUUUUUUCCAUCCUUCCCGAUAUAAUUAUUCUUCGAUCCACGCGCACAUCAUUCUACCCUCGUGUGAAUAUAAAAUAGAUAAAAUAAAAAAAAUAACAUUACGAUAAUAAUCGUCGAGAUCCGGGAAAGUGAUUAAGAGAAGAAACACGUCGUUGUCGUCAUUGUUACAGAAAAUAAGACACAAUCAAGAAGAAGAAAUAAUAGAUAAAUAGAAAAAUAGAAGAAAAAGAAGAUUUAAAAAAAGUACGACAGACGUCACAUCGAAGCUGACUCUCCUUUUUCUAUCAACUAUUCGUCUAUUCAUCUACAACGCCAAAUUCAUUUUGAAUUUCAUCCUUGCUGACUUCUGGAUUACGCGUCAAAUUACGUGCCGAAGGGGGAAGCUUAAUAUCACGAGAAGAAGGAUAGGAGCAGGGUGAGAGGGGUGUAGCUGUUGAGGGGGAAAGGAACAAGGUGUAUUCAAGUGAGGUGGUGCAAUUGCAAGGAACGAAAGACGACCCCCAUAACCAUUGCAUUUUUCGCUGUUCAAGAAGAAUCUACUGUAAGGAGACGAGACAUAGGAUGGGCUCAUCCGUGCGAGCACUCGUUCUACAUUGAAGAGGAGGAGUACCGUAAGGGUGGUGGUGGUGG
rnacentral:lncRNA from 1 species